rnacentral:tRNA from 1 species
GCCCCUGUAGCUCAGUGGAUAGAGCACUUGCCUCCGGAGCAAGAAGUCCCGCGUUCGAGUCGCGGCGGGGGGA